rnacentral:tRNA from 2 species
GCCCAGAUAGCUCAGUCGGUAGAGCAAAGGACUGAAAAUCCUUGUGUCGGUGGUUCGAUUCCACCUCUGGGCA